rnacentral:rRNA from 1 species
AGCUCCAAUAGCGUAUAUUAAAGUUGUUGCGGUAAAAAAGCUCGUAGUUGGAUUUCUGCUGAGGAUGACCAGUCCGUCCUCUGGACAGGCAUCUGGCUCAGCCUUGGCGUCUUCCUGAAGAACGUAGCUGCGCUUGACUGUGUGGUGCGGUAUUUAGGACAUUUACUUCGAGGAAAUUAGAGUGUUUCAAGCAAGCGCGCGCCUUGAAUACAUUAGCAUGGAAUAAUAAGAUAGGACCUCGGUUCUAUUUUGUUGGUUUCUAGAGCUGAGGUAAUGGUUGAUAGGGAUAGUUGGGGGCGUUCGUAUUUAACUGUCAGAGGUGAAGUUCUUGGGUUUGUUAAAGACGGACUACUGCGAAAGCAUUUGCCAAGGAUGCUUUCA